AAGCUUGUAGUUGAAUUUCGGGGUUAGUAGGUUGGUCAUGCCUCUGGUAUGUACUGGUCUCACUGAUUCCUCCUUCCUUAUGAACCGUAAUGCCAUUAAUUUGGUGUUGCGGGGGAAUUUGGACUGUUACUUUGAAAAAACUUAGAGUGUUUAAAGCAAGCUAACGCUUGAAUACAUUAGCAUGGAAUAAUGAAAUAGGACGUUCGAUCUUAUUUUGUUGGUUUCUUAGGAUUGACGUAAUGAUUAAUAGGGAUAGUUGGG
rnacentral:rRNA from 1 species